rnacentral:siRNA from 1 species
UAAACUUCAUUGUACAUGUCCA